GAGGGUAUAGCUCAGUGGUAGAGCACAAGCCUAGCAUGCAUGAGGUCCUGGGUUCAAGCCCCAGUAUCUCCA
rnacentral:tRNA from 1 species